rnacentral:rRNA from 1 species
UAGGGAAUCUUCGGCAAUGGACGAAAGUCUGACCGAGCAACGCCGCGUGAGUGAAGAAGGUUUUCGGAUCGUAAAACUCUGUUGUUAGAGAAGAACAAGGACGUUAGUAACUGAACGUCCCCUGACGGUAUCUAACCAGAAAGCCACGGCUAACUACGUGCCAGCAGCCGCGGUAAUACGUAGGUGGCAAGCGUUGUCCGGAUUUAUUGGGCGUAAAGCGAGCGCAGGCGGUUUCUUAAGUCUGAUGUGAAAGCCCCCGGCUCAACCGGGGAGGGUCAUUGGAAACUGGGAGACUUGAGUGCAGAAGAGGAGAGUGGAAUUCCAUGUGUAGCGGUGAAAUGCGUAGAGAUAUGGAGGAACACCAGUGGCGAAGGCGGCGCUCUGGUCUGUAACUGACGCUGAGGCUCGAAAGCGUGGGGAGCAAACAGG